UGGGGAAUAUUGGACAAUGGGGGCAACCCUGAUCCAGCCAUGCCGCGUGAGUGAUGAAGGCCUUCGGGUUGUAAAGCUCUUUUGGCGGGGACGAUGAUGACGGUACCCGCAGAAUAAGCCCCGGCUAACUUCGUGCCAGCAGCCGCGGUAAGACGAAGGGGGCUAGCGUUGUUCGGAAUUACUGGGCGUAAAGCGAGUGUAGGCGGUUGCCGUAGUCAGGUGUGAAAGCCUUGAGCUCAACUCAAGAAAUGCACUUGAUACUGGGUGACUAGAGGACCGGAGAGGAUAGUGGAAUUCCCAGUGUAGUGGUGAAAUACGUAGAGAUUGGGAAGAACACCAGUGGCGAAGGCGGCUAUCUGGACGGUUACUGACGCUAAGACUCGAAAGCGUGGGGAGCAAACAGGAUUAGAUACCCUGGUAGUCCACGCCGUAAACGAUGGGUGCUAGACGAUUGGCGAGCUUGCUCGUCAGUGUCGCAGCUAACGCGUUAAGCACCCCGCCUGGGGAGUACGGCCGCAAGGUUGAAA
rnacentral:rRNA from 1 species